UCCGGCCUUAAGCCGGCAGUCCUGUAUGAUACGUGUAACAUACAGCAAGGGUUGCGCUCGUUACCGGACUUAACCGGACAUCUCACGACACGAGCUGACGACAGCCAUGCAGCACCUGUGCAAGCUCCCCGAAGGGUCGUUCCGCUUUCGCUUCACUACCACUUGCAUGUCAAGCCCAGGUAAGGUUCUUCGCGUAGCAUCGAAUUAAACCACACGCUCCGCUGCUUGUGCGGGCCCCCGCCAAUUCCUUUGAGUUUUAGCCUUGCGACCGUAGUCCCCAGGCGGUGAACUUAUCGCGUUAGCUUCGGCACUGAUGGCUUUUACCCCACCAACGCCAAGUUCACAUCGUUUACGGCUAGGACUAC
rnacentral:misc_RNA from 1 species